rnacentral:lncRNA from 1 species
AAUCAACGAUCCACACCGUUAAAUAUGAUCUAGGGUAUAUGAAUUUCUUAGGAAUAAAUUUUAGUUUUUUUCGAUAUCGUUUACUUAGUAAAUAAAUUAUAUCAAAAUGGACGGUUUGGGGAAAUUGAAUAAUCUUUAAAAUUUGAGUAUAGGACUUUUAAAUUCAAGAUCAAGAAUGUUAACCUUAAUCUAUAUAGUUUAAAGUAUUUUCUAUCAAAAUUUGAAGAAAUUUAGAUUCUUCUAUACCGUUAAACUCCAAACUCGUCAUAAUAGCUAUUGAAAAUUGACAAUUUUGAAAUAGUUGGAUCAUAAAGUAAACUAUGUCGAAAAAAUAUAAAAUUUUAUUUCUAGAAACUUUAAAUACCCUAGAUCAGUUUUAACGGUGUGGAUAGUUGAUUUGAACGCCCUAAGAUCGAAAACCAACACUAUAAUACCGGAGCUCGGUACUAUAGAUAGUAUAGUAGCCUAGCUCUAUAUAUAUAUAUAUAUAUAUACUUUGACUUU